rnacentral:tRNA from 1 species
UGAGAUAUGGUGUAAUUGGUAACACACGUGCUUUUGGCGCACGCAUUUUAGGUUCGAGUCCUUGUAUCUCAA